GUCUACGGCCAUACCACCCUGAACGCGCCCGAUCUCGUCUGAUCUCGGAAGCUAAGCAGGGUCGGGCCCGGUUAGUACUUGGAUGGGAGAAAUAAAGAAAAGUCUUGCUACGUGAAAA
ensembl:rRNA 5S_rRNA 5S ribosomal RNA